rnacentral:lncRNA from 10 species
UCAGAGUGGUUUUACGGGUCAUGAAUUAGCCUAUCUGGGGAGAGAAGAUCAAAAGUAAAAUUAUAAGUCUAGAGUUAGUAACUUAAAAGUUCUAAACGUGUGUUUGUGUGUACAUAUGUAUAUUAUAUAAGAGGGUGCCUUUGAUGUCUAAUCUGAAUGCUAUGUCAAUGUAUUUGUUUAUAAUUAGGCCAGACAAAAACAAGAUAGAGAAAUAAAGUUGUCACUGCAGGUGGCUACUGAUGUGUGACAGUGUGUUCUGCAUCAAAUCAAAUGCUGAAUAAGAUUGAAGAGGGGAAAGGCAUAGAGAAAAAGGGGAGAAGACACUCUUGCAAAAGAAGGGAGAAACAGAAGCAAUAGCUCCUUACAUUUCCUCAGAAAGGGAGAGUGAGAAAGCUUGAUUAUUUUCUAGGAAAUGGUAUGUAGAAAGGUUUGGCAGGAGGUGAGUUUAUGAGGGAAUUUGAAAGUAUUAAAGGGAAAAUUACUUCUCUGAAAAAGCAAGAAGAGUACAGAGACACAAGAGCCAAGGAGAAGAAAGUUUUGUUAUGAACAUGCUUGAAGUUUUGCCGACAUUCUGGACAUAUGUAAACAGAGUGCUCAAUGGAACAUCUGUCUGCUGCAGGAUAAGAAAAGAGGCCAUUGAUGACAGAGGAGAAAAAGAAUCUGGAUUGCACAUUAUCGUAGGAGCCAAAUGAACAGAAAGUCUUAAGAAGAAAGGAUGGCCAGGCGUGGUGGCUCAUACCUGUAAUCCCAGCACUUUGAGAGGCCGAGGCAAGUGGAUCACCUGAGGUCGGGAGUUCGAGACCAGCCUCACCAACAUGGAGAAAC